UACGUAGGGGGCAAGCGUUGUCCGGAAUCAUUGGGCGUAAAGCGCGUGUAGGCGGCCUUCUAAGUCGAACGUGAAAUCCCCGGGCUCAACCCGGGAACUGCGUCCGAUACUGGAAGGCUUGAAUCCGGGAGAGGGAUGUGGAAUUCCAGGUGUAGCGGUGAAAUGCGUAGAUAUCUGGAGGAACACCGGUGGCGAAGGCGACAUCCUGGACCGGUAUUGACGCUGAGGCGCGAAAGCCAGGGGAGCAAACGGG
rnacentral:rRNA from 1 species